GUAGCGUCAGGAAUAAAGUAAUAAAGAUUGAUAUAUGCUAUUGAUAUUUUAUCAGUUUUUGUUAAUUAAUUUGAAGUUUAUUUUUGUUAUCUUAUAUUUUACAUACUAAUUCAUCCUAAAAUUCGGGUAGUCGACAUUGGAUUCUAACGAUCAUUGAGCCUUACAAAGAUACUGUAUAUUUGAUGGACCCUAUCACUCACCGCAAUCGUGAUGCCCAUUGGAAAUCCGUUGUUGACAUGUACGUUUUACAACUUAUAGAUAAUUUUCUUUUCCUUGGACCUUUGUAAAUGUGAAUGCUAGUUUUCUCAUAAUUUUUUUGACGAUUUUUAAUGCAAACAAGGGAAAUAGUAAGUUCAAUAAGUCACCCAAAUGGGAACAAGUGAAGGGUCCAAUUCAACCCGAUUCAAAACAAUGUGGGUUUUAUGUGAUGCGGUUUAUGAAAGAGAUUGUGAAAGCAUGUGAAGAUGUUGAUUCCAUUUGCGUGGCAUCGCUGGUAACAAUUAAUUUAAUAUUAAUCUACCAUUUAUUGUGAUGUGGGUUCUAUGUGAUACAUUUGGUUUGUAGGCAGUUUAAAAACGCGAAUAUUCUGAAAGUGAGAUCAACGAGGUUCGUAAGGAUUGGGCAGGUUCUGUCAUUAAUGAGAUAUGACAUGUGAUAUGGAGAACUUCAAGGCUGAUCAGUUGAUAUGGUUUCUUGAUAGCCUUUUGGACAUUAUAAUUCUGUUGGUGUUGGAUGUAAUUUUGGAACAUACUAUAUUAGAUAAUUAGCGAAUUGAAGGAUAUAUUAUUGUUUUUUGAAUGUUGGAGAUGUUGUAAUGGAUUGUGUUUGAGGAUUUUGGACAGUUUAUAAUUAUGAAUGUUGAAAUUGGCAUUUUCGAUGUGUAAAUUUAUUAUUAUAUAUUAUUUAUUGAUAUUUAUAAAAUUAAAACAGGAAAAAUAAUAAAAUAGGGAAAAAUAUUUUAAAAUUAUGUUAGAAAAUAGAUGACGGUUGAAAUAACCGUCAUCCAAAGUAACUUUAUAUGACGCUUAUAGAGUGUCAAGUAUUACAAAAUAAUGUCAUCAAAUCUAUCAUACACGACGGUUCAUAAGCGUCAAGUACAACAAAACGUCAUGUAUAACCAUUUCAACGACGGUUCAAAAUUGUCAUAUUUUAUUAUAAAAACGUCAACAAUACAAGCAUAGAUGACGGUUGUAAAGUGUCAAAUAUAAUGAUCUACAACGUCAUAAAUUGUGAUAUCCAUGACGGUUAUAAACCGUCAAGAAAAGUUUUGUAACUGUCAAGAAUAACAUAUUACUUGACAGUCGUAAACCGUCAACAAUACUUCUAAAACCGUCAUAAAUGAUUAUUAUAGAUGACGGUUUAUAACCGUCAUGUAUACUAGGUACUAUACACUACACCACUAUACUUGACAGUUUGUAAAUGGUAUACAUGACGGUUUUUAGCCGUCAUGUAUGAGCGUUUUUGUAGUAGUGUGACCACGUUCAAGCCAUUUAUCGUGAGCUUCCAUCGUCCCCUCGGCCCGUCGUGUCCAUCGUGCCCACGGGUGGGGGCAAUCGACCGUCGUGGGCACGGUCGCGGGUGUCGACGGGCACGAUGGUG